rnacentral:rRNA from 1 species
CGCCUCCCGCCUCACUCACAGGAGGUCAUGCCUGCACAAUGACCUAAGGGUUAAAUUGCCGCGGUACCCUGACCGUGCUAAGGUAGCGUAAUCACUAGCCUGUUAAUUGCUGGCCCGUAUGAAUGGCUCGACGCUGGUGGCGCUGUCUCUGCUGUGCUCUAUUGAACUUAACCUUUUGGUGAAAAGGCCAAAAUAAACCUAAAAGACGACAAGACCCUGUCGAACUUCAGGCUAACCUGCUAGGGCACCGGCCCGCAUUGCAGGAGAACCUUUGGUUGGGAGAACCGGGGACCAAACAAAACGUCCACCCCCACAACAGCUUAAGCCCAAGGGACAGUAACCACGCCUCUUUGAGCAAAUCGCCCGACAAGGCAAAAUUAACUAAGUCAGAUCCAGGGGCCAACCCCUGAUCAUGGGAAAAGUUACCGCAGGGAUAACAGCGUAAUCCUCCCGGCGAGACCACAUUAAGGGGAGGGUUUGCGACCUCGAUGUUGGCUUAAGGCAUCCCAGGGGUGCAGGAGCUCCUAACGGUUGGUCUGUUCGACCACUAACGCCUUACAU